GACGAACGCUGGCGGCGUGCUUAACACAUGCAAGUCGAACGGUGAAGGUGGAGCUUGCUCCGCCGGAUCAGUGGCGAACGGGUGAGUAACACGUGGGAAACCUGCCCCAGACUUCGGGAUAACUCCUCGAAAGAGGUGCUAAUACCGGAUACGAACUCCUUGGGCAUCCUUGGAGUUGGAAAGUUUUUCGGUCUGGGAUGGGCCCGCGGCCUAUCAGCUUGUUGGUGAGGUAACGGCUCACCAAGGCGACGACGGGUAGCCGGCCUGAGAGGGCGACCGGCCACACUGGGACUGGGACACGGCCCAGACUCCUACGGGAGGCAGCAGUGGGGAAUAUUGCGCAAUGGGCGAAAGCCUGACGCAGCAACGCCGCGUGAGGGAUGACGGCCUUCGGGUUGUAAACCUCUUUCAGCAGGGAAGAAGCGAAAGUGACGGUACCUGCAGAAGAAGCACCGGCUAACUACGUGCCAGCCGCCGCCGUAA
rnacentral:rRNA from 1 species